AUGCAAGGUAAACAUCAUACCCACACUGUACUAUCGCUCUGGCCCCAUGCCACAUUUUUAAAUAGGAGUUCUCAGGAUUACCAGCCUUACACAGAGGUUGAACAGUAGAAUAUUUCUCCAACACUA